GACGAACGCUGGCGGCGUGCUUAACACAUGCAAGUCGAACGGAAAGGCCCUGCUUUUGUGGGGUGCUCGAGUGGCGAACGGGUGAGUAACACGUGAGUAACCUGCCCUUGACUUUGGGAUAACUUCAGGAAACUGGGGCUAAUACCGGGUAGGAGCUCCUGCUGCAUGGUGGGGGUUGGAAGGUUUCGGCGGUUGGGGAUGGACUCGCGGCUUAUCAGCUUGUUGGUGGGGUAGUGGCUUACCAAGGCUUUGACGGGUAGCCGGCCUGAGAGGGUGACCGGCCACAUUGGGACUGAGAUACGGCCCAGACUCCUACGGGAGGCAGCAGUGGGGAAUAUUGCACAAUGGGCGGAAGCCUGAUGCAGCAACGCCGCGUGCGGGAUGACGGCCUUCGGGUUGUAAACCGCUUUCGCCUGUGACGAAGCGUGAGUGACGGUAAUGGGUAAAGAAGCACCGGCUAACUACGUG
rnacentral:rRNA from 1 species